rnacentral:rRNA from 1 species
UACGUAGGGUGCAAGCGUUGUCCGGAAUUAUUGGGCGUAAAGAGCUCGUAGGCGGUCUGUCGCGUCUGGUGUGAAAAUCCAGGGCUUAACCCUGGACCUGCAGUGGGUACGGGCAGACUAGAGUGCGGUAGGGGAGACUGGAAUUCCUGGUGUAGCGGUGAAAUGCGCAGAUAUCAGGAGGAACACCGGUGGCGAAGGCGGGUCUCUGGGCCGUAACUGACGCUGAGGAGCGAAAGCAUGGGGAGCGAACAGG